GUAGGCGGCUUGUCGCGUCGGUUGUGAAAGCCCGGGGCUUAACCCCGGGUCUGCAGUCGAUACGGGCAGGCUAGAGUUCGGUAGGGGAGAUCGGAAUUCCUGGUGUAGCGGUGAAAUGCGCAGAUAUCAGGAGGAACACCGGUGGCGAAGGCGGAUCUCUGGGCCGAUACUGACGCUGAGGAGCGAAAGCGUGGGGAGCGAACAGGAUAAGAUACCCUGGUAGUCCACGCCGUAAACGGUGGGCACUAGGUGUGGGCGACAUUCCACGUCGUCCGUGCCGCAGCUAACGCAUUAAGUGCCCCGCCUGGGGAGUACGGCCGCAAGGCUAAAACUCAAAGGAAUUGACGGGGGCCCGCACAAGCGGCGGAGCAUGUGGCUUAAUUCGACGCAACGCGAAGAACCUUACCAAGGCUUGACAUACACCGGAAAACCCUGGAGACAGG
rnacentral:rRNA from 1 species